rnacentral:rRNA from 1 species
UUAUGAGGUGCUAAUACAUGCAAGUCGAGCGAACGGACGAGAAGCUUGCUUCUCUGAUGUUAGCGGCGGACGGGUGAGUAACACGUGGAUAACCUACCUAUAAGACUGGGAUAACUUCGGGAAACCGGAGCUAAUACCGGAUAAUAUUUUGAACCGCAUGGUUCAAAAGUGAAAGACGGUCUUGCUGUCACUUAUAGAUGGAUCCGCGCUGCAUUAGCUAGUUGGUAAGGUAACGGCUUACCAAGGCAACGAUGCAUAGCCGACCUGAGAGGGUGAUCGGCCACACUGGAACUGAGACACGGUCCAGACUCCUACGGGAGGCAGCAGUAGGGAAUCUUCCGCAAUGGGCGAAAGCCUGACGGAGCAACGCCGCGUGAGUGAUGAAGGUCUUCGGAUCGUAAAACUCUGUUAUUAGGGAAGAACAUAUGUGUAAGUAACUGUGCACAUCUUGACGGUACCUAAUCAGAAAGCCACGGCUAACUACGUGCCAGCAGCCGCGGUAAUACGUAGGUGGCAAGCGUUAUCCGGAAUUAUUGGGCGUAAAGCGCGCGUAGGCGGUUUUUUAAGUCUGAUGUGAAAGCCCACGGCUCAACCGUGGAGGGUCAUUGGAAACUGGAAAACUUGAGUGCAGAAGAGGAAAGUGGAAUUCCAUGUGUAGCGGUGAAAUGCGCAGAGAUAUGGAGGAACACCAGUGGCGAAGGCGACUUUCUGGUCUGUAACUGACGCUGAUGUGCGAAAGCGUGGGGAUCAAACAGGAUUAGAUACCCUGGUAGUCCACGCCGUAAACGAUGAGUGCUAAGUGUUAGGGGGUUUCCGCCCUCUUAGUGCUGCAGCUAACGCAUUAAGCACUCCGCCUGGGGAGUACGACCGCAAGGUUGAAACUCAAAGGAAUUGACGGGGACCCGCACAAGCGGUGGAGCAUGUGGUUUAAUUCGAAGCAACGCGAAGAACCUUACCAAAUCUUGACAUCCUUUGACAACUCUAGAGAUAGAGCUUUCCCCUUCGGGGGACAAAGUGACAGGUGGUGCAUGGUUGUCGUCAGCUCGUGUCGUGAGAUGUUGGGUUAAGUCCCGCAACGAGCGCAACCCUUAAGCUUAGUUGCCAUCAUUAAGUUGGGCACUCUAAGUUGACUGCCGGUGACAAACCGGAGGAAGGUGGGGAUGACGUCAAAUCAUCAUGCCCCUUAUGAUUUGGGCUACACACGUGCUACAAUGGACAAUACAAAGGGCAGCGAAACCGCGAGGUCAAGCAAAUCCCAUAAAGUUGUUCUCAGUUCGGAUUGUAGUCUGCAACUCGACUACAUGAAGCUGGAAUCGCUAGUAAUCGUAGAUCAGCAUGCUACGGUGAAUACGUUCCCGGGUCUUGUACACACCGCCCGUCACACCACGAGAGUUUGUAACACCCGAAGCCGGUGGAGUAACCUUUUAGGAGCUAGCCGUCGAAGGGACAAUC